UGCAGUCGAACGGCAGCGCGGGGCAACCUGGCGGCGAGUGGCGAACGGGUGAGUAAUAUAUCGGAACGUACCCUGGAGUGGGGGAUAACGUAGCGAAAGUUACGCUAAUACCGCAUACGAUCUAAGGAUGAAAGUGGGGGAUCGCAAGACCUCAUGCUCCUGGAGCGGCCGAUAUCUGAUUAGCUAGUUGGUGGGGUAAAGGCCUACCAAGGCAUCGAUCAGUAGCUGGUCUGAGAGGACGACCAGCCACACUGGAACUGAGACACGGUCCAGACUCCUACGGGAGGCAGCAGUGGGGAAUUUUGGACAAUGGGCGCAAGCCUGAUCCAGCAAUGCCGCGUGAGUGAAGAAGGCCUUCGGGUUGUAAAGCUCUUUUGUCAGGGAAGAAACGGGUGGAGCUAAUAUCUCUGCCUAAUGACGGUACCUGAAGAAUAAGCACCGGCUAACUACGUGCCAGCAGCCGCGGUAAUACGUAGGGUGCAAGCGUUAAUCGGAAUUACUGGGCGUAAAGCGUGCGCAGGCGGUUUUGUAAGUCUGUCGUGAAAUCCCCGGGCUCAACCUGGGAAUUGCGAUGGAGACUGCAAGGCUAGAAUCUGGCAGAGGGGGGUAGAAUUCCACGUGUAGCAGUGAAAUGCGUAGAGAUGUGGAGGAACACCGAUGGCGAAGGCAGCCCCCUGGGUCAAGAUUGACGCUCAUGCACGAAAGCGUGGGGAGCAAACAGGAUUAGAUACCCUGGUAGUCCACGCCCUAAACGAUGUCUACUAGUUGUCGGGUCUUAAUUGACUUGGUAACGCAGCUAACGCGUGAAGUAGACCGCCUGGGGAGUACGGUCGCAAGAUUAAAACUCAAAGGAAUUGACGGGGACCCGCACAAGCGGUGGAUGAUGUGGAUUAAUUCGAUGCAACGCGAAAAACCUUACCUACCCUUGACAUGGACGGAACCCUGGAGAGAUC
rnacentral:rRNA from 1 species